CUUCUUACUAGCUCUUGUUGUUCACAGAGACUCGUGGCAGAUAUAUGAUGCUAUUGUAAUUCAUCCUUGUGAGCCAGGAGUAACUGAAUAGAUUAAUGUCUACAACCUAAAAUGGUGCGUCUUGUAGUGACGGACCAGUUCCUGAUCUUUGUUGGACGGGACAGGGUCACCACUCCCUUGUAUUUUGGGAUUUGUGUAUUUUAAUGGGAUUUAUGGAUAUUUACCGUAAAGUACAAUGAUGGACCAGUUCCUGCUUUUGUUGGACGGGGCGGAGUUGCCACUCCCUUGUACAUGUAUAUCAGGAUUUGUGUAUUUUAAAGUCAUUUAUUGAUAUUUACGGUGCGUCUUGUAGUGAUAGACCAGUUCCUGCUUUUGUUGGACGGGGCGGAGUCGCCACUCCCUUGUACUUGUAUAUCGGGAUUUGUGUAUUUUAAAGUCAUUUAUUGAUAUUUACGGUGCGUCUUGUAGUGACGGACCAGUUCCUGAUCUUUGUUGGACGGGACAGGGUCACCACUCCCUUGUAUAUCGGGAUUUGUGUAUUUUAAUGGGAUUUAUGGAUAUUUACCGUGCGUCUUGUAGUGAUGGACCAGUUCCUGCUUUUGUUGGACAGGGCGGAGUCGCCACUCCCUUGUACAUGUAUAUCGGGAUUUGUGUAUUUUAAAGUCAUUUAUUGAUAUUUAUGGUGCGUCUUGUAGUCACUGAUGCUUGUGUUAGAG